GGAAGACAGAACUGCCUCUUUUGGAGGUUAUGCCCUUCCAAAAUCAGACUGUUUAUGGCCAUUCAGUUUGAAAAUUACAGAGGUGGUGGGUGGCAGUUAUCUUUUUUAUUGAAGAUAAUUAUUUGGCAAAAUAAGAGUUGCCCUUGGCUAUCUAGCCUUCCAAUUAAAAAAAAAAAAAAAAAAAGAAGCUUGUUUGUGAAAUCCUGAAGUUUAGGAACCAAGUUAAGCUGACUUGAGAGGUUCACUCACACGCACUAGCUCCCUGAGUGUGUGAUUAAAUUUAUGGCUUAGCAAAACAAAACAAAACAACAAAAAACCACUGGUCGUGACGCUCAGAGAUCACUCGCAAUAGUCAGGAGUUAACAGAAAGUGUGUGCACCCAAAUUGUCUACCAUCCUUCUAUAAAAACUGGCUGCUUUUAAAGGUUUGUCUAUUAAAAUGCUAUCAUGUUUUGCUUUGUUUGGUUUCCUUUUAAAGACAGUUGUUUAGGUGAUGUGUGAGGGAUUAAAAAGCCACCCCUGAGAUAAAGCUGACCUGCUUGCAGGAAAGCCACGAUGGAAGGCGGAAGUAUAGAUGAUGGAGGAUUUACGGAGAAUGCGCAGACACAGAUGUGACGUGGAGGGGAGGGCGACUCAGGCCCUUCCUCGCAAAGACUCAUCUAACUGUCGGGGCAACUGUGGGUGCUGCCAUGUCGGAUGAGACGACUGGGGAGUGAGAGGCAGGAAAGCAGCCGAAAGGCCGGGGGGCAGUGUUCUCCAAGGCCUCUCAGAAAAGACAGGAGAGCUUCUCUACACCCCGCUCUCCAGUGGGGAAGCCUGCUUACUUAUAACGGACCCAACAGUAAAUGCAGUCCCCACCACUCUUGGCCAUUGUCAGAAGGGAUAGGUCUGAGGGUCCGGGCAAGAGCAGACCGACGGCCUGGAGAGAGCUUUUGGAAGAUCCAGUUCCUUUUUCAAAUACUUUAUAAAUGUGUCGCACAUUGCAAAGAUGGUGGGAAGCUUCCAGAGGUGCCGAGUCUUGGGUGCGAAUAG
rnacentral:lncRNA from 1 species